rnacentral:rRNA from 1 species
AGAGCGAACGCUGGCGGCAGGCCUAACACAUGCAAGUCGAGCGCUCCGCAAGGGGAGCGGCAGACGGGAGAGUAACACGUGGGAACGUACCCUUCAGUUCGGAACAACCCAGGGAAACUUGGGCUAAUACCGAAUACGUCCGUAAGGAGAAAGAUUUAUCGCUGAAGGAUCGGCCCGCGUCUGAUUAGCUUGUUGGUGAGGUAACGGCUCACCAAGGCGACGAUCAGUAGCUGGUCUGAGAGGAUGAUCAGCCUCACUGGGACUGAGACACGGCCCAGACUCCUACGGGAGGCAGCAGUGGGGAAUAUUGGACAAUGGGCGCAAGCCUGAUCCAGCCAUGCCGCGUGGGUGAUGAAGGCCCUAGGGUUGUAAAGCCCUUUCGGCGGGAAGAUAAUGACGGUACCGCAGAAGAAGCCCGGCUAACUUCGUGCCAGCAGCCGC